rnacentral:rRNA from 1 species
UACGUAGGGUGCGAGCGUUUGUCCGGAAUUAUUGGGCGUAAAGAGCUUGUAGGCGGUUUGUCGCGUCUGCUGUGAAAAUCCGGGACUCAACCCCGGACCUGCAGUGGGUACGGGCAGACUAGAGUGUGGUAGGGGGAGACUGGAAUUCCUGGUGUAGCGGUGAAAUGCGCAGAUAUCAGGAGGAACACCGAUGGCGAAGGCAGGUCUCUGGGCCACUACUGACGCUGAGAAGCGAAAGCAUGGGGAGCGAACAGG